rnacentral:lncRNA from 1 species
GUGAGAUUGAAAAUUAUAUGUUGUAAUGACAUACCAAUAUUUGGCUUUCCAAUUACCAAGCGUAUAUUAAAGUAUAUAUAUCCCAUUUAGAUUUCCUAAUUUGCUAUUAUUUGCCUGUAGAUGAUAAUUUAUUACCUUAGAAUACUGGGAAGAGGGACUGUCUUGAUGCUUUAGGCCUGGAUAUAGUUUUGACCUUAACAAAGAACAAGACAGAUACGAGAGAGUAUAUUAGAUGUUGUUAUUACCGUAAUAAAAUGCAGAUAAAAAUCAUAGUGCAGAAAGACUGUAAGACAACUAUUAAGCAUUUGCCAUAUAAAGAAAAUAAAAACUUAUCAGAUAUUCUGACACUUUAAAGAUUUGUCAUGAAAAAAUACUUCUAACAGCGAAGCGUUGAUGCAAUAUGUCACUGAUGAGCUGUCUGCUGAAGUGUUUGAAGAGUUUGGAAGAAGAGGUAAAAAAUGCCAAAGAUGGGUUUUUUCAUUAGUUUGACUGAUGAUCUCACUAUAUUUGAAUUUAUAUUUAGGAGUAAAACAGUGCGUUUUUAACAGGGUGAGGUGGGGGCUCUUUGUCCUGUCCUGACCUGGUGGUUGGUCAAACCAAAGCUUGUUGGCUGAGAAAAUGGCAGAGCUGUCCAUCAGGCUGUUCACUUUUCUGUUUGGCUUCGUAAGAUGCUUCGAGUCAGGGGAGAUUUUUCUGCCGUGUGGUGAUUGAAAGACUUUUAUUUUUUUCCCCUAAUACCCUACAGGAUCUGAAGUCAUUGAGUUGAUUAAGCUUAAAAUUAAACAUAUCUUAAAAGCUUGAUCGACUGAGACCUGGCUUCUGAACAUCUUCAGCACGAAUCUUCUUCCAGAGGACAUAAAAGGGCUCGAUGCGAUAAGAAAUGAGCUAUCGAGUGCUGCUCUUGAGACAUCAUCCCCAACUCCUUGAAGUCAACAGAAAGCUACUGAGAGUCUUCAGUGGGCUUUGGAUCAGACGUUCGGCGUAUUAACGUGCCGUGUUAAAUACAGCAAUGGUCGGAAACAACAGCAAGGUAAGCACUUGUUCAUGACUAACAAAACAUCACUGGCAAGAAACAGCAAACACCGCCGCUCUCCAGGGAUCUGGCUUGGAGUGCAUGAAAAACUCUUUAUUUCUGAGAGUUACUUCUAAAAUUCUUGACCUUCAGGAAAUGGUUCAAUUUCCCCAUAAA